AAAAGUCGUAACAAGGUUUCCGUAGGUGAACCUGCGGAAGGAUCAUUAACACGCAGCAUCCAAACCUCUUUGGAUCCACCCAACCUCGAGCGAACCCAUUGUCCCUUUUCUCUUUGCUUUUUACACUCCUCUGACCAUCGUGUGUCUGAAAUUGCUGCGGGCCCGGUUCCUUCCGCGGCCCCAGCUGCAUCGAACGCAGUACAACUCUUAACAACGGAUAUCUUGGCUCUC
rnacentral:misc_RNA from 1 species